AUUGAACGCUGGCGGCAUGCCUUACACAUGCAAGUCGAACGGCAGCACGGGUGCUUGCACCUGGUGGCGAGUGGCGAACGGGUGAGUAAUACAUCGGAACGUACCUUAUCGUGGGGGAUAACGCAGCGAAAGCUGUGCUAAUACCGCAUACGCCCUGAAGGGGAAAGCGGGGGAUCGCAAGACCUCGCGCGAUUAGAGCGGCCGACGCCUGAUUAGCUUGUUGGUGGGGUAAAAGCCCACCAAGGCGACGAUCAGUAGCUGGUCUGAGAGGACGAUCAGCCACACUGGGACGGAGACACGGCCCAGACUCCUACGGGAGGCAGCAGUGGGGAAUUUUGGACAAUGGGGGCAACCCUGAUCCAGCAAUGCCGCGUGAGUGAAGAAGGCCUUCGGGUUGUAAAGCUCUUUUGUCAGGGAAGAAACACCGGCUCUAACACAGUCCGGGAAUGACGGUACCUGAAGAAUAAGCACCGGCUAACUACGUGCCAGCCGCCGCCGUAA
rnacentral:rRNA from 1 species